rnacentral:misc_RNA from 1 species
GUGAAUCAUCGAAUCUUUGAACGCACAUUGCACUCCUUUGGAGUAUGCCUGUUUGAGAAUCUAUAGUAAUUAUUUCCGGUUCAGUUAUUCGUAACUGGGCAGGAAGAUUUGAGACUUCUCCCCGUUUGGGCGAGUAUCUUUAAACUUAUAGCCUCUUUUGUGGUGAAUUCCUCUACAGAACAGUAUUUGAAUGGAACUAACGUUUCUCCUAAUGCCAAUUAAGUAGAGUCGCCUAUUGAAAAGGGGGUCCAUAAACUGAAAGUCAGUCUCUCGGGACUGGCUUGAACCAUGGUCUCAAAU